rnacentral:rRNA from 1 species
UAUGUACGGAAUGGAUAAGCGCUGAAAGCAUCUAAGCGCGAAGCCAACUUCAAGAUAAGAUUUCCCACCGCAAGGGUAAGACCCCAGAAAGACUAUCUGGUUGAUAGGUCGAAGGUGUAAGUGCAGCAAUGUAUUUAGCUUAUCGAUACUAAUAGGUCGAGGACUUGACCAA